AGGAAAGGCUUGGAGAGCCGGCGGGUGCCCGGGCCUAGGACGCUCCCGGGCGGGGUUGGCGGGGUUGGGGGCCGGCGCGCCCCACCGACCCCGCGCGGUGGCCCCGCCCCUGGGGCCGCGGGGAGGCCCCGCCACGGGGGCGGGGUUGGCACUGCCCCCCCUCCCCUUCCCGCUGCGGCCCCUUCUUAAGCCCUCGGGUCGCUGGCUGCCGUCACUCGCCUCUCCCGCCGCCUCCCUCCUGCGUUAUGGCCUCGGCGGCGCGCAGCUAUGUCUCCAGGUUCAAGUCCUUCGUGAUCUUGUUCCUCACCCCGCUCCUGCUGCUGCCACUCGUCAUUCUGAUGCCCGCCAAGUUCGUCAGGUGUGCCUACGUCAUCAUCCUCAUGGCCGUGUACUGGUGCACGGAGGUCAUCCCCCUGGCCGUCACCUCCCUCAUGCCGGCCUUGCUCUUCCCGCUCUUGAAGAUUCUGGACUCCAAGCAGGUGUGUAUCCAGUACAUGAAGGACACCAACAUGCUGUUCUUGGGCGGCCUCAUCAUGGCCGUGGCCGUGGAGCGCUGGAAUCUGCACAAGAGGAUAGCCCUGCGCACGCUCCUGUGGGUGGGGGCCAAGCCAGCACAGCUGAUGCUGGGCUUCAUGGGCGUCACGGCCUUUCUCUCCAUGUGGAUCAGCAACACGGCCACCACGGCCAUGAUGGUGCCCAUCGUGGAGGCCAUGUUACAGCAGAUGGAGACCGCCGGCUCCGCCGAGGCCGGCCUGGGGGCCCUGGAGCUGGCAGACAAGGGCAGGGCCGGCCAGGUGCCAGGGAGCCAAGUGACGUUCGAAGGGCCCCCCGAGGGGCUGCGGGCCGACCGCGACCGGAGGAGCGUGCGCAAGGCCAUGACCCUGUGCGUGUGCUACGCGGCCAGCAUCGGAGGGACCGCCACACUGACAGGGACGGGGCCCAACGUGGUGCUCCUGGGCCAGAUGCACGAGUUGUUUCCGGACAGCAAAGACCUGGUGAACUUCGCCUCCUGGUUUGGCUUUGCCUUUCCCAACAUGCUGGUGAUGCUGUUGCUGGCCUGGCUGUGGCUCCAGUGCGUCUAUAUGAGGUUCAGUUUUAAGGCGUCCUGGGGCUGCGGGCUGGAGAGCAGGCAUCACGAGAAGGCCGUGUAUGAGCUGCUGUGGCAGGAGUACAGGAAGCUGGGGCCGUUCUCCUUCGCCGAGGCCAACGUCCUGCUCUGCUUCCUCCUGCUGGUCGGCCUGUGGUUCUCGCGGGACCCCGGCUUCAUGCCCGGCUGGGUGUCGCUGGCCUGGGAGGAGGGCGAGACAAAGUACGCGUCUGACGCCACCGUGGCCACCUUCGUGGCCACCUUGCUGUUCGUAGUGCCUUCGCAGAGGCCCCAGUUCAACUUCCGUGGCCAGACGGAGGAGGGUAAGGCCCCCGGGAGCGUGCGUCAGGCCUUCCCUGGGGACUGUUUUCUGCAAAUUCUUCUCUUGUGCCCUCCAGACGUUUGAAACCUUGGCAAUAUUAUAAGAGGACAGACAGACGUUUCCAAUUUCCCGCAAGGCCAUCUGUGCUUUUUCCGGUUUCUCUCCUCCGGUCUUUGCCGGGAUGCAUGUGUUACACGGGCCGCUCAGAUUCCGUUUCUCGGUUGUUUGGGUUUUCGUGUCUUUAUGGUGUGAUCACUCCCUGUUAACGCCACAGGCUUCGUGUCCAUUUUCUCUCAUUAUGGCAUCGUAGCGCAUGGAGGGGCGGAGCUGUUCUAUCUUGUGGAACGUUCUGGUCGUUUGGAAUUUUCCGUUGCUAUCAAUUAGUGUUUUCAGGUGCAUAGGUGUUUCUUCUUUUUGUAAAUUUUUUUUAAUGUUUUUAUUUAUUUUUGAGACAGAGAGAGACAGAGCGUGAGUGGGGGAGGGGCAGAGAGAGGGAGGCACAGAAUCGAAGCAGGCUCCAGGCUCCGGGCUGUCAGCACAGAGCCCGACGUGGGGCUUGAACCACGAACUGUGAGAUCAUGACCUGAGCCGACUGAGCCACCCAGGCACCCCUAGGUGUUUCUUCUUUAGGAUAAAUUUCCAGGAGUCGUGUUAUUGUAAGGGUAUAUAUGCCAAAUGGCUUUUCAAAAAGAUUGGGCCAAUGCGUAUGCUCCCCAGGAGUGGGUGACCGUGUUACCCAGCAUUUUUCACCAGCACUGGGUGUGGCGUCCAUUGUGAGUUUCAGCUGAUGUGAAACCUCGCUCUGGGAGGGCGUCCCUGGUCCACACGGGCUUUGAUUCCCCUGGAAUCGAUCUCUUUUGCUUCCCGCUGCUGCUCUGGCUUGUGUAUGUGUGUCUUUUGUUGUUUCUUCCCAGAAAGGAAAACUCCAUUUUAUCCCCCUGCGCUGCUGACCUGGAAGGUGACCCAGGAGAAAGUGCCCUGGGGCAUCGUGCUGCUGCUGGGG